UGCGUGCUUCGGUUCUCUUGGCACACGAAUAGUGUGUGCAUGUGCAUUUCGAAUUGAACUCAGGGCAGCAGAGCAUUCAUAGGAGAGCGUAAAUGAGCAGAGAUCACGCCAAAGGCGCGACCGGGGCGAACGCGCCGCCACUGGAGAUGCUCCAGAGGCUGCAGCUUUUUCGGUCCACCCUGGUGAACUUUUUAGAGUGGCGCAACUUCAGCGAUGUCGUGCACGGAUGCUAUGUUCGUGUACUGCUGGAGAUGCGCAGCACCGAGGAGAACCGGCGCGAGAGUCCUGAUAACUACUACAUCGCGCUUGUGAAGGGGGCCCAGCGCGGACCGGUUUACUCCGGCUUCUCCGCGGACGCCGUGACCACAGAGUGGCACAUUGUGAUCGAGCUGCCACCGUGUUUCCGCUCGACACAGAACGGCAACGUUGUGCAGCUGAACUCCAUCUCAAACUCCCCGUUCAGACAGGCGGAGUACCAGAACUGGGUGGACAUGACAAACGAGACGAGAGAGCUGUCCUUCCCGAGCCUCCCGCAGCUGCAAUUUCGUCUAGGGAUGCUGGAGGAGCACAAGCAGCAGGCCCUCGCCCCGGAACCACGCCGUCAUCGUAACGGGGAGGAUGCGCAGGCGGCGGCGCUGCGAGAGCGGGUGUUGGAGGAGAAACGAAAGCGCAUUACCGAGGAGAUCAUGGCGACGCACGUGAAGCUGCGCCGUAUCGACCAACUGAAGGCGCUUUCGUUGGAGGACUUGCAGGAGGUGGAGAGGGAGAUACUCGAUUUGAUCACGGGGGUGCGGAUAUCCAUCAAUGAACGCUCAAAAUGCAUGCUGUGCCACAACAGAAUCUGCACGGAAAUCUGCUACCCGUGCAAGCAUCAAGUACUCUGCAAGGACUGCGCCAAGUCGAUCCGUGGACGAUGCCCCGCUCCAAAGUGCAAGACACCUGUGCAGUACACCUUUGAAGCGUUUACAUCGUAGCGUGUGCGCUUCCCUCGUCGUGCGUGCAUCGAUCCACAGCGGGGUUUGUAUUGCCUGCAAGGCCGCGUCGUUCUUUUCCUCGGCGUGUGUGCUUCGCCGCCGCCCUGCCACUCCUACUCGUGUUACAGAUGUGUAGUUGUCUCCUGUUUCUUGUGUCGCUGUUGGCACUGUUGUUGCGAGUGAAGUGUGUUCUCGAUAUGCAGCACUCUGGCCGCUCUGCUGGGAUGGCCUCAAAGUAUGGCGACACCGUGAUGGGUUCGCGUUCUUCUCGGGUGGCAUGUACUCUCUCCAUCUGUGUUUUGUCCUCUGUUUCGCUGUCCUCUCUCCCUCUCUGGCCGGGCUGCAGCGGAGUAGGGGGAGCGCAUGGACGCGCACACGGGCACUUCUGCUCUCUCUUUUUUUUUGGCCUCUUUGCACGCGUGCGUUUUUCCUUUUGUGUCCACUGUCUCGCUUCCCACCAGCUCGUCGUAUGGCCGCUGUUCUCGUUUUUCAGUUGCUCGUCGGCUCGUGUGCUCCUCCGCGUCUUGGUGGCGUUUGCGCCCUCGCGUCGAUGCGUGCGGAGGGGCGUGGUGCUUCGUCGCGUCCUUCCUUUUCGUCUGCCUCGCUGUGGUGGUGCUUCGGUUCUCUUUCGGCGCGGUGUGCGUGUGUGUGUGCGCGCGUGCAAGCGAUGUCUUUGUUGGUUGUCAUCAACGGGAGGGGAGGUGGAGGUGAGAGGAACAUCGGCACACACCCACACACAUAACACACCCCGUGUGCGCUUGUGAUCGCCUUCCCCCCUUUCUCAGCGUGGCGCGGGUCUUUGUGCUCUUCGUGUGUUUCUUAUUCGCCCUCUCUUCUCACUCCUUCGGUCUUCAACAGGCCAUGUUGCGGCGCCGCUCGGAUAAUACAGCAGGUAGACACGCAUGCCGGCAGACACUCGAGAUGACCCUACAGCAUGGCCGACCGUUUUGUUUCACUUUUUCAAUCGGCACUGCGGCAUCCUUUUUCGCUGUUUUCGUUUUACGAGUCGAUCACCGCUUCUAGUUGCUCGAACACCACAACAAACAUGCGAGGCGAGAGCUGGCCCAUGUCGACUCGAAUGCACCCAGCAAGCGUGCAGACCCGCAAAUCGGCGGCACUCCUUCACUGCAGCGGUGCUUCCUUGCAGCGAUAGGGCACACUUUCCAUCAUGUCCGAUCAAUGACGGGAAGUGUUAUGGGACGCGUUCUGUCUAGGUCUGAGCUCUUCAAGGCCGCACUGCAACAGCGAUGUGUUGCCUGCCGCCCUCCUUCUCUCUUACCAGCUUUCUGCGACCUCCUCAGCACACUGGUCUCCCCUCGACCCCCCUCCCCCUCCACAAAAAAAAACGUUUUCUUUCGCCGUCCACUUUCUGGCAUCCGCCCUCUCUCCCACUUCACCUCUGCACAG
rnacentral:misc_RNA from 1 species